rnacentral:tRNA from 10 species
GGACGGGUGGCCGAGCGGACUAAGGCGCACGCCUGGAGAGCGUGUGGGCAGCAACCCUGCCUCGUGGGUUCGAAUCCCACCCCGUCCG